AGGCAAAGCAGUGGCCGUUAGCGGGCAUUCUCUCGAAGGAAAGAAGAGAGGAGCACGAGGCAGUGCACACGACACCUCACGCUGGCCUCUGUCUUGGCUCCCGGAAUUUUGUUCCCACUUAAAACAUACUACAUUUUAUUGAGUAGCAGUUUGCAUAAAUGACAGGACUUCUACGAUAAAGUUUCAGCUCCCCAGCUGCGGGGCUCGGCCCCUUCUGGGCACUGAGGGCGCAGCGUCUGCGCGGCCCCCGCGGCCCGUGCCCGCGGCCCAAGGAGCACGGGGAGCGCGGGUGUGAGUCCUCCAGCCGAGCCUCAGCACCAGCGAGGGGGCCCGUCUGACUGCGGGGAGAGCCGCGGCCGAUUACAAACCCGGGCGGCCUGCAGGACCUGGCAGUGACUUUGGGCAUGGUUAAGAAUUUCCGACAAUUCAUGGCAAACACGCAAAACAAUGGCAACUAGCCAAUAAAGCAAAGGAUCUAAUGCCUCCCUGGAGAGUUGCUGCUGGCGCCAUUGAGUCGAUUUCGACCCCCAGCACCCCUGUGGAUGCCCAGUGGAGCCCCGCCCACUCUGUCUGUGCCAUCCCUCUCCCCAUGGAGAGCGUAACAGCCAUCGGCUUGCCAUAGUCAGAGUCGUGCUCCCAACACAGGGACGCACAGCACAUCACAGCAUUUCUCUAAGUGAAGAAUGUGGUCCCUUUUCAAAUUCCUCAAUAACCCCGAUUGAACAUCCCCUUGCUGUGUGAUAUAUGACUAAAGAAUAGUAUAUGGAGACAAGUAACGAAGACAACAGAAGUUGUGGAAAGGAGAAAAACGAGAUGGUGGCAGUAACUGUACACUUUAAAUUUACCCUAAGCACAUAGACUCCAUUUACAUGAGUGUAUAGAUGCCUUUAUUUUACUUUUGCCCGCAGCAUUGGGUAUUUUGCAUUUAUAAAUGUGACCUGUAUUAAACCCAAGUAAGCACUAAAUCAUGCUGUUCAGAUACUAACUUUCAGAAAGGGCCACAUUCUCUUUUCCUUUUACUGAAGCGCAAUUUUUAAAGGUAAAAAUCUUAUCAUUUUAAAUUUGCCACAAUAUCUAGUUUCCCCUGCCACCUUCCCCGUUUAUUUUAUCAUUUGUCUUCUUCUCUUGAUACUAUCUGUUCACACAGCAGUCUCUCCAGCCAGACUGCAGCUUCAUCAAGUCGCAGGUGUACUGCAGCUGAGAAUCCUGAGCGCCCCCCGAGGACUCAUUAUUUAGGAGAGUGACGGUUUAGGGGAGUGAAGGUUGCUCAUGCACUUUCCUCCUCUAACUCUAUUUUUGUUAGUUUCCAUUCAUUUUGGGGUGCUUUUUUUAAGACCCAGAGUAAUUUUUUUCUCUCCAUCUUUACCCUCAUGGAUCUUUGUCUCUUAUAGAUAAUGUGUCUUCUUCGAGGAUAACGAAUACCAAAUAGUAUCUUAAAAAACAACAAUCACAGCAUAUUCACUACUUCUCAUUACAGCUGGCAGGAGUCAGCAGGAGUUGUCAGAGUGAGGGAAGAGAAGCAAAGGGAUGGGUGAGUUGUUCGCCUAUGCCCAUGCAGACGAGAAAGGAUAAGAAUCGAAGGAAUUAAUGUGGGCCACACCAAGGGAUGGGACACUGACAGUCCUCACCACUUUCUGGAAGCUGCUUCAGGUUGCAGGCAAGGAUGAACUCCUAACCAGAGCUCUUGGACAUUUAGCCGAUCCCACAACUAUCACCUGUUUUAAGAUGGUGGAAUAAAACAAUUUUUCUCCUCCUUUCAUUUGCUAGAGAGCUAUUAUGCUGCUUUAAUUCUCAGGAGAUUUAAAAAUCAAACCAUACUGUAACUGUUAGCUUAUAAUUCCAGAGGCCUCUAUGAUCAUCUGUUUCUAAGAAUCAAAAGGUUAGCUCACAGAUUCUUCACUGCAGUCUUUCUACUGAUUGUGUUUUGAAGGUCCUUGCAACCCAGUUUUACUGCACUGCCUUCUGAAAUUCUAGUUAACAUUUAUUUUAUUCAAAUACAGUAACCCUCACUUCAGCAGUGAAUAACUGACUCCCACCCCCACAUAGUGUACACAGUGUUAGCACAAUAGCUUUAAAGUGCUGCAGAGAAUUACACAAAAGUCUUUUGAAAUUAUGCUCAAGCCGAAGAAUAUAUCUUUCUUCUUCCUAUCAGUUUAUCUUUUUCUCUCGGGAGAAGUUUUUCUUUUAUGAAAAGCUUCCCAAAAUGAAACACUUCUAUCCCCUUCCUGAGAGAUUAUGAUCUACUCUAAAGGCAAGAGAAGCCAGUGAAAGCACUGAAAAUUCAAAGACAGCAUGCACUGACGUCUACUGUGCUGUUUACGAUUGUACCUUGUUAAAUCAGAACCAUAGACAAAGAAGCAAUGCACGAGAAAGAGCUAUUGGUCUCAACGAGUCUGUUUUUACAGAGUGAAAUCUCAGUUUUCUUCUUUUUUUUUUUACUGUGUAGACUUUUUAAUACUUAUUCAAAAACUUGCAAGUAUAGUACAGGCUACUUAGUAAUCAGUCUCUGUCAAGAAAAUUACUUGUUGGGCACUCCCUUCAAUUAAGUGUAAUAGAAAAGAAAAUUUUAAUGCCAUAAAAGGAUAAAAACAUAAGUUCAUAUUUUACAUACUUUUGGUAAAUGAGAGGAUCACAAUGGACAUGCAAGAUGCCCUGCUGAGUCCUUGUGUCUCUUACAGGUGCCCCAGAGGAACUUACUCACGGAUCCAAGACGGAGAGCCCUCAGCCAAUCAAAGGGAAUUAGCUCUUUUUGGUUUUAUACAAAAAGCUUCAAGAUUCACUUUUUUUGGGGGAAAAAGUGUUUGUUGCUUAAAAAUAAAAAAAAAUCAAAACCACUGGCCUUGAUUUUAUUCUUCCCUCUUUCUAAUGAAACGUUAACCAUCCUUUAAUGUCCAGAUCAUAUUUACCUUAAACAAGGCUGGAGAAUGACCAUUCUAGAAAAUCACCCCUUGUUGAAUGAAUACAGUGUUUGCCUCUCUUAGUUUUACUUAUUGACUUUGUGUCUUAUAUUUUUAUUAAAUCACCCAAAAGUCUCACUUUGUCAACCGGCUUCUCAGCACUUGGCACACUGAGAACAUGUUUUAUUUUACUCUGCAUGCUUCUUGCCACAGAGUACUAAAGGCAGCACCUCUUUUCUAGGAAUGAGGCAACUAGAAAAGUGGGGACAACUGUCCCUUGCCCCCUGCCAUCCAGUGACCAAUACCGACUAGGGUUAAUGACUUUUUCACAUUUUAUCACUGACUCUGCAACACUGCACAUCAUUUCCAAAUAAAGAGAUGACCCUGACGGAAGAAGGCAAGCUGGCCCUCCCUCCUGCUCUCUUCCUUGGGGUCAGUAAUCACGCCCUCUCCCAGUGCAGUCACUGUCAACCCUGUGUACACCAGAAGCUCCCGGAAGAACAGUUAAAAGGAAUAGUGCCUGGGUCCCACCUCAGACGAGCUGACACUGCAGCUCUGAAGACAGUCACGAAAUUUGACUCAAACAACAAACACAAAAGAAAGUUGAAAAAGAAUGGGUAAAAAUGCUUAAUUAAAACCAGACCAAAAUAAAACAGCUUAAGAAUUAUUGUACCUACUAUACAAGACUGCCCGAGGGAUUGGAAACC